AAAUCUUAAUGGCGGACGGGUGAGUAACGCGUGGGUAACCUGCCUUACACUGGGGGAUAACUCUUUUAAAAAGGUGCUAAUACCGCAUAAGCGCACGAAGCCGCAUGGAUUUGUGUGAAAGACUCCGGUGGUGUAAGAUGGACCCGCGUCUGAUUAGCUUGUUGGCGGGGUAACGGCCCACCAAGGCGACGAUCAGUAGCCGGCCUGAGAGGGUGGACGGCCACAUUGGGACUGAGACACGGCCCAAACUCCUACGGGAGGCAGCAGUGGGGGAUAUUGGACAAUGGGGGGAACCCUGAUCCAGCGACGCCGCGUGAGUGAAGAAGUAUUUCGGUAUGUCAAGCUCUGUCAGCAGGGAAGAAAGAAAUGACGGUACCUGACCAAGAAGCCCCGGCUAACUACGUGCCAGCAGCCGCGGUAAUACGUAGGGGGCAAGCGUUAUCCGGAAUUACUGGGUGUAAAGGGAGCGUAGACGGUUAAGUAAGUCUGGAGUGAAAGGCCGGGGCCCAACCCCGGGACUGCUCUGGAAACUAUUCAACUUGAGUGCAGGAGAGGUAAGCGGAAUUCCUAGUGUAGCGGUGAAAUGCGUAGAUAUU
rnacentral:rRNA from 1 species